GACAGAGGGUGCAAACGUUGUUCGGAAUUACUGGGCGUAAAGCGUGUGUAGGCGGCUAUGUAAGUCGGAUGUGAAAUCCCGGGGCUCAACCCUGGAACUGCAUUGGAUACUGCCUUGCUUGAGAACUGGAGAGGAGACUGGAAUUUACGGUGUAGCAGUGAAAUGCGUAGAGAUCGUAAGGAAGACCAGUGGCGAAGGCGAGUCUCUGGACAGUAUCUGACGCUGAGGCACGAAGGCCAGGGGAGCAAACAGG
rnacentral:rRNA from 1 species